AGAGUUUGAUCAUGGCUCAGAUUGAACGCUGGCGGCAUGCCUUACACAUGCAAGUCGAACGGCAGCACGGGUGCUUGCACCUGGUGGCGAGUGGCGAACGGGUGAGUAAUACAUCGGAACAUGUCCUGUAGUGGGGGAUAGCCCGGCGAAAGCCGGAUUAAUACCGCAUACGAUCUGAGGAUGAAAGCGGGGGACCUUCGGGCCUCGCGCUAUAGGGUUGGCCGAUGGCUGAUUAGCUAGUUGGUGGGGUAAAGGCCUACCAAGGCGACGAUCAGUAGCUGGUCUGAGAGGACGACCAGCCACACUGGGACUGAGACACGGCCCAGACUCCUACGGGAGGCAGCAGUGGGGAAUUUUGGACAAUGGGCGAAAGCCUGAUCCAGCAAUGCCGCGUGUGUGAAGAAGGCCUUCGGGUUGUAAAGCACUUUUGUCCGGAAAGAAAUCCCUGGCUCUAAUACAGUCGGGGGAUGACGGUACCGGAAGAAUAAGCACCGGCUAACUACGUGCCAGCAGCCGCGGUAAUACGUAGGGUGCGAGCGUUAAUCGGAAUUACUGGGCGUAAAGCGUGCGCAGGCGGUCUGUUAAGACAGAUGUGAAAUCCCCGGGCUCAACCUGGGAACUGCAUUUGUGACUGGCAGGCUAGAGUAUGGCAGAGGGGGGUAGAAUUCCACGUGUAGCAGUGAAAUGCGUAGAGAUGUGG
rnacentral:rRNA from 1 species